rnacentral:rRNA from 1 species
AUGAACGCUAGCGACAGGCCUAACACAUGCAAGUCGAGGGGCAUCGGGGUGUAGCAAUACGCUGCCGGCGACCGGCGGAUGGGUGAGUAACGCGUAUGCAACCUGCCUUCAGCAGGGGGAUAGCCCGUUGAAAGACGGAUUAAUACCCCAUAACACAGGGGCUCCGCAUGGAGAUUAUUGUUAAAGGGAUACUUCCUUCGGGGGGUAUUCCGGCUGAAGAUGGGCAUGCGUUCCAUUAGGUAGUUGGUUGAGGUAACGGCUCACCAAGCCUGCGAUGGAUAGGGGAACUGAGAGGUUGGUCCCCCCACACUGGUACUGAGACACGGACCAGACUCCUACGGGAGGCAGCAGUGAGGAAUCUUGGUCAAUGGACGGAAGUCUGAACCAGCCAUGUCGCGUGAAGGAGGACGGCCCUAAGGGUUGUAAACUUCUUUUGCAGGGGAAUAAAGUAUUCCACGAGAUGGGAUAUUGCAAGUACGCUGCGAAUAAGGAUCGGCUAACUCCGUG